rnacentral:lncRNA from 1 species
AGUUUUACCAGGUGCACGGGAAGAUGGUUGGAGGCUCGUAGCGAUCGGCAUUGCUUAACAGUGGACAACUGAGGACUUCAUAUUUUUCUGGCUCUGAUCAUCUCCUCACGUGAGGCUUCUUUACACUAAGCAGCGGAAAUUCUAAUUUGAGAAACACAAAUGAAAAAAUGCCAUUUUCGAAGGAUGUCGAGGCUGACUACGAAGAAAGUACCACCAUGCAAAUGAAGAAAAUCUCCUGCUGAAAAAAACAAUCAAUCAGCAGCUAAAAUUAAUCAAAAAAUUAAAUGCGUCUCUGCAGUGGUAUGGAAGAAAGGACUCAAAGGACGAUGAAAGGUCGCCCUCUCAAGAUCCCGGCAGAGAGUGCCGUUUGCGAGAGUUAGAAACUUCCAAUAAAAUCUUAUCAAAUAAGGUAAGCAAAACUGUCAAUAUCUCUGUGCCAUUAACAUUGUGCCUUUCUACAAACUUGCAAAGCAAGUAGAGACUGCAUCAUUAAUGUAAAUGAGUACAAAAUUACAUUGACUCGCUAAUUAUAUUUCAAAUAUUUUUUAUACCUAGGUCAAGUGCUGAAACAGCAGCUGAUAUCACUCUCCUCAUUUCAAGCAACACCAAAGCCCCCUACUUCACGAGGUGUGUCGCCAUCCAAGGAGUCUGUCCACUCUUUGCCCUCCAAAAGGCCGAAAUCAUCCACCACGCCAUCUGAUCAACGGAAUCAAACGGAGUCAAUGAUGAGCACAGCCUUGGAGGAAAAAAUGAAUGGGCAACCUCUUUUCACAAUUGACGAAGACUUGGAAGGCCUCAGAGGUGGAAGUCAGUUGACGGUAUUUGAUGGCGAUCCUGGAAUGCGCUCAGAUUCGGCAGAAAGCGUCUGUGAUAUUUCUAGUAAACUUUUAGUCAAUGUUGAAGUCAUUCGAAUGAAGAGAAUGAUGAAAUGGCAGAAUGCUCAGCUGACAACUUUAUUAACCUGUGUUGACAAUUUGAAUCAAGAAAGUCAAUCGAUGAAGGAGACGAUGAACAGACUAUCCGAGGAAAAUAUUGAACUGAAGAGUUCCCUCUCGUUUGAAAAGAAAAGAUAUCAAAUGCUGCAACAAAAUAGCACCAACAAAGAGCAUGUGAAAGUGCUUGAGGAGCAAAUUCGGGAUCUGCAAGGUGAGAGAAACACUCUUCGAGAUCACAAUAAAAAAUUGUUGAGUUUAGCGGCAGAUCAUGAAUCUCAUAAAACUGAACAUAUCAGAGCAGUAAUAAAGCAGACCAGAGAUGUUGAAUGUCAGAUGUCUUGUGAUUCUUUCCCGGUGAAAGAAUCAACAACGAUUAAGUUCAGCGCACCAUCCCAGAGAAAAAAUCAGCGCAAGCACAAGUAUGAUGCACUAUCUCAUGAGGAGGUAUCAGUUAGCUCAAAACAUAGCAAACAAGAUAUUUCCUCAGACUUCUCCAACGCUCUUGAUCUCUCCUCGUCCAGUUCUGCCAUUCUUGAUACGGAUGAAGGUCUCUCAGACCACAGGCUCGGCGAACCCAUGGACACGGACCAAGUUGAAAGUGUUUCAUUCGGUGAUGCAAGUUAUUCAAAAAUUCCGAAAGAAAAAUCAUCUAACACUAUCUGUAAUAAUAAUAGCACAAAAAGGAAGAAAAGUAAAAUGGAAGUAGAUAAAAAUGGACAAGAACUUCAACCAAAUGCAACUGAUUGUAUUCCUUCAUCUGCCGGAAAUGAUAAUGAAAAACUAACUUCAAAGACUGAAUCCAAAGAUCUUCCCAACUUAGGAAAUGGUAAUGAAGAGCUUUUACGUGCGGAACUUUCGGAGAAAUUGUGUGAACUUGAGAGGUGUCGGCAGAUGCUCAAGAUUCAGUGUAAUCUCAACUCAAUUUACAAAGACGAGGUUGAAAAACUCUCAUCUCAGCUGAUCAAGGAGAGAGAAGAGACUCACAUUGAUGGUUCCGUCAGUGCGGUGGAAGUUAUGCUAAAAGAACAUUUGGCCAAACUAGAACAAUUUCAAGUCACCAAAACGCUUCGGUCUCACGAACAGCAAACUGACUCUCAAGAUUUUCCGGACAAAUCACGAGCAGCGGAGAAUAAAAGGAAGUAACGGUUGUUGUAGGAGUCAAAGAUGACAAUACUAGUUUAAUAGAAGAAGGUAGGAUUUUCAUUCUUUAGCAAUUUUCCUAGUUAGCGCAGACUUGAAGAGUUUUCACGUUUUGAAAAAGACAGCUCUUUCAAAAUGUAGCUAAUCUAAUUUUUACUCAAAUUCUA